rnacentral:tRNA from 1 species
GCAGGGGUACCCAAGCCUGGUCGAACCCUUUUGCUCGCGCAAAAGCGUUCACGGAAUGCCGGAACGUAGCAAAAGGUUACAGAAAAAGGGGCAGGACUUAAGAUCCUGUGGCGGUAGCGUCUGCGGGAGUUCAAAUCUCCUCCCCUGCA